UGUAUUUAGUUUGCUGAUAUAGUACAAAAAAGUUAUACAAGUUUGAAAAAAAUUCGAAAAAAAAAUUUCAAAAAAAUUCGAAAAAAAAUUCAAAAAAAAUUCAAAAAAAGUGAUUUAUGCAAUUAAAUUGUUAUUUGAUCGUCAAGCUUUGAUCUGAUAUAGUUUCCCGAUCCAUCUUCUGUUCUAAACCCCCUAAUCAUAUGCACGCCACACUUUC
rnacentral:lncRNA from 1 species